CCUACGGGAGGCAGCAGUGAGGAAUAUUGGUCAAUGGACGAGAGUCUGAACCAGCCAAGUAGCGUGAAGGAUGACUGCCCUAUGGGUUGUAAACUUCUUUUAUAAAGGAAUAAAACGAGGCACGUGUGCCUUUUGCAUGUACUUUAUGAAUAAGGAUCGGCCAACUCCGUGCCAGCAGCCGCGGUAAUACGGAGGAUCCGGGCGUUAUUCGGAUUUAUUGGGGUUAAAGGGUGCGUAGGCUGUGUGGUAAGUCAGCGGGGGAAUGCCCCCGCUCAACGGGGUGAAGUGCCAUUGAUACUGGCUGGCUGGAGUGCAGAAGCGGUGGGAGGAAUGUGUGGUGUAGCGGUGAAAUGCAUAGAUAUCACACAGAACACCGAUUGCGAAGGCAUCUCACGAGUCCGCGAUUGACACUGAGGCACGAAAGCGUGGGUAUCAAACAGGAUUAGAUACCCUAGUAGUC
rnacentral:rRNA from 1 species